rnacentral:rRNA from 1 species
GUGGGGAAUUUUGGACAAUGGGCGAAAGCCUGAUCCAGCCAUGCCGCGUGCAGGAUGAAGGCCUUCGGGUUGUAAACUGCUUUUGUACGGAACGAAAAGACUCCUUCUAAUAAAGGGGGUCCAUGACGGUACCGUAAGAAUAAGCACCGGCUAACUACGUGCCAGCAGCCGCGGUAAUACGUAGGGUGCAAGCGUUAAUCGGAAUUACUGGGCGUAAAGCGUGCGCAGGCGGUUAUAUAAGACAGAUGUGAAAUCCCCGGGCUCAACCUGGGAACUGCAUUUGUGACUGUAUAGCUAGAGUACGGUAGAGGGGGAUGGAAUUCCGCGUGUAGCAGUGAAAUGCGUAGAUAUGCGGAGGAACACCGAUGGCGAAGGCAAUCCCCUGGACCUGUACUGACGCUCAUGCACGAAAGCGUGGGGAGCAAACAGGAUUAGAAACCCUUGUAGUCC